AGCGAACGCUGGCGGCAGGCCUAACACAUGCAAGUCGAACGAAGCCUUCGGGCUUAGUGGCGGACGGGUGAGUAACACGUGGGAACGUACCUUUUGGUUCGGAAUAACGCAGAGAAAUUUGCGCUAAUACCGAAUGAGCCCUUCGGGGGAAAGAUUUAUCGCCGAAAGAUCGGCCCGCGUUGGAUUAGGUAGUUGGUGUGGUAAAGGCGCACCAAGCCUACGAUCCAUAGCUGGUCUGAGAGGAUGAUCAGCCACACUGGGACUGAGACACGGCCCAGACUCCUACGGGAGGCAGCAGUGGGGAAUCUUGCGCAAUGGGCGAAAGCCUGACGCAGCCAUGCCGCGUGAAUGAUGAAGGUCUUAGGAUUGUAAAAUUCUUUUACCAGGGACGAUAAUGACGGUACCUGGAGAAAAAGCCCCGGCUAACUUCGUGCCAGCAGCCGCCGUAA
rnacentral:rRNA from 1 species